rnacentral:rRNA from 1 species
UACGUAGGAUGCAAGCGUUGUCCGGAAUUAUUGGGCGUAAAGAGAACGUAGGUGGCUUUUUAAGUUCGGUCUUAAAGACCGGGGCUCAACCCCGGGAAUGGAUUGAAGACUGGGAGGCUAGAGGAUGUCAGAGGACGGUGGAAUUCCAAGUGUAGCGGUGAAAUGCGUAGAUAUUUGGAGGAACACCAGUGGCGAAAGCGGCUUCCUGGACCAGAACUGACGAUCAGGCACGAAAGCGUGGGGAGCAAACAGG